ensembl:snRNA U6 U6 spliceosomal RNA
GUGCUCAGUUCAGCAGCACACAUACUAAAAUUGGAACCACACAGAGAUUAGCAUGGCCCGGUGCAAGGAUGACACGCAAAACUUUU